UGCAGUUGAGAAGUUCAAGGGUAGUAAGUACUUAAUGCCAGGGUCUAAGGUCAAUCAUCCCUUUUAAGACACAGAUAGCAUCUGCAGCGUUUUCAGGGAUGGAGAUAGAGAAGAAAAGCAGGCAGCUACUAGAUGCUCGAAUCUUCCACAAAUGCCAGGGAGAGAGUCAGGAUGCUGAUAGAAGAGAUCAGUAAAGCUGAGUACCAUAAGCCUCAACAUGGGUGUUUUUAUUUCAAGGUGGGGGAGCUGUGCUUUGGAAAAGCAAUGGAAAUCUCUUCCCCUCCUAAGUCCUGUGUUCAUGGAGGAGGGUGGGAGGCUGAGUUUUCUCCUCUUGAGAGGGAGUUACGUCCAAGUUUAAGGGGAAAGAGUCUGAAUUUUCCACCUAAAUAAUUCUGAGAGAAUCAGGUUAAGAAGCAAAUCUGUUCUGAUGCUAUGCCAACUAAGUACAUGAUCUGAUUGUUCCAGUUAUCCUGUGCCAAAAAGAAGCAAAAAAUGGGCUUUCCACGGAUUAUUGAACACAGUGGGUGUCAGUGUGCCUGAGAAACAAGCCACUAUUAAAAGCUUUCUAGGCAAUUUGAAUCAGGUUGCUGAGCUUUGAAAAACAUUCUACAGCCAAGUGUAGGAGACCAAAGAACUUGGAGAACAUACGUGCUCUGAGCUAUUUCAAAAAAUGCCGCACUUAAGCUAAUUGAGCUGUCGUCAGGGCAACACGGACAUGAGUAACAGGAAGGUAGAUUUCAGUAGAAGAGAAGAACAGGCAAGGGAUGGAGUCACGUGCAUUUGGAACACAGGACAAACAUAAGCCCCGUUUAUCUCAAUAAAGUAAGCACAGUUGGGCAUUCUGUGGGGCAAGAUCAUUUGCUGGAAUUUAGAUGAAGCCCAGAACAAUCCAUGGAUAUCAAAUCCACACAUAAGCCUCUGCUAGAAUUGUGCCAGAGUAAGGGCAGUCCUACCAUGCCACCCAGAUAUCUGGUUUCCAGGUGAAUGAACUGAGGAAAGACCAAGAAAUAUAUGGUGGGUAAGAGGUAAGAGAGAAAGUCUGUUUAAAUUAAAUCAGAUCUCCUCAUACAUAAACCAACUCAAUGACUUCUGAAGCUUCCUCUUAUCUCUAACAUACAAUAAUUGAAUUGAAGAAAUAUAAUAGUCUUGUUUCAGGAAUAAGGAAUAAUUGUUUUAGCCAAAACAUAAAAGAUAAAAGAACUAC